UACGUAGGGGGCAAGCGUUGUCCGGAAUCAUUGGGCGUAAAGCGCGCGUAGGCUGCCAGAUAAGUCCGGUGUGAAAGUCAAAGGCUCAACCUUUGAAUGCCGCUGGAAACUGUCUGGCUAGAGUCCGGAAGGGGCGAGUGGAACUCCUGGUGUAGCGGUGAAAUGCGCAGAUAUCAGGAAGAACACCAAUGGCGAAGGCAGCUCGCUGGGACGUUACUGACGCUGAGACGCGAAAGCGUGGGGAGCAAACAGG
rnacentral:rRNA from 1 species